AUGGUACAGCUGGAGGGAGGUGAGGGCGGCGCACCAGCGCUCGGUGGGCCCGCACCCCUCGGCCCAGGCUGCCGUCCUGCCGCCCAGCCCCGUGCCCUGCCCCCUGCGCACCGCGGCCCCGGCCUCCCCGCGGGCUCCCGGGGUGGGGCUCCCGGGUGGGGGGCCAGCGCCUGCACACUCUGCACCCCGGCUGCAGAAGCAGCGCCCUGCCCCCCCCCCCCCCCCCCCCCCCCCCCGGGGCCCAGAGCCGCCCUCCUCCGUGCACCCGCUGAGCCGGAGCCCCAAGUGUUCGGGCCUGGCCCUCCCCUGCGGGCCCCGCCUCCGCCGCCCACAGCGCCCCCUCAGGGCCCCUCCCCGCGGAGCUCCCCCUCACCUUGCCCCCCCGGCACCCCUCCCAGGCCCUCCCGCCAGCCCCCCAGGCGGCCCGCUCCCGAUCCUCGGGACCGCCCCCCCGCCCCCAGGAUGCCCCCGCCCCGGAGGAAGGGGCGAGGUGGGCCCGGGCCGGUGUGGGAGCCGCGCACUAGCCGGGCCCGCAGCGGGCGGGGGUGCGGGGGGCGGGGGGGGCGGGGGCGCUGCGAGUGCGCGGCUCUUCGAAGGUCGUCGGUAACGCUCUCGGCUGAGCUGGGCGCUGGCGUUGACCUCUUAACAAAGAACAGGAGAAAAGAAUCUCCAGAGAAAGUGGGCAAGCUGUCAGGAAAAUAAGAUGAACACAUGGUACCGAUCCAAAUGGAGAGCCUGUGAGAAGCUGAUGACUGUCCAUGGAAUUCUGGAGACUUUACAAGUCUUCCUCAUGCCUCUGCGUGUAAUUGAAGCUAUAUGAAAAUAUAGUUGAAAUGAGAAGAAAAACAUGGAGAACUUUGAAGAUUUUGGUGUCUUCAAUUGGGGUGGAAUUAUUUCAGCCUCCUCUUGGAUUUUAAUACUCAUUUGACCACAGUGGUGUGCACACAGUUUUAAAAUUUUUUUCGUGCCCCCUAAAAGAUAACCCUCAUUCUGCACAGAAACAUCUUUUGAGUGAUCAUUGAAUAAUGGAUUGAUGGCAAGGUGCUUCGAAUCUUGAGUUCUGCAAGUAAAUUAAUUUGAAAGAGAAUGACAUAAAGCUUCUCUGUUCUUUCUGUGAGAAAGUUUCUCCCAGAUGAUUUUUCAAGAUGAGUAAAAGGAAAAGUGCAUAAUUGUAGCUGUCACUAGAUCAUUUUCUCCUUCGUUUUUUUUUGGGUCUAUUCUUACCUGUUCAAAUUGUGUAGACAGCUUUGAUCAUGCUACAAUUGCCAAGCGGUUCACUCAUCUGCCGAGUCCCCCGACUGCCAAACCACACCGUUCUCUCGCCUGAUGACACUGUUCCACACUAUCUGAUGUUCAUCCAAUGCUUUGAACUCUGCUAGCGUUGCCUUCAGAAGAGAACAUGUUCAGAAAGCUCCAUGAUGGACAAUAUUGAAUUGUGUCACCAAGUUUUUUGAGUAUAGGAAACAGAACACACAGGGCUUGGUUUUCACCACUCAGAUUUGUAUGUGGAUUCCCAGACAGCUCUCAUGUUCUAAAAUUACUCUGGUCAUCUCACUGUGCAUUGCCUAGCUCUGCACUUCAAGGCUUCCAGAAGUGUUGGCCUACUUUCCUGGAAGCGAAAAGGAGAUGGUCAUUAUUUAUUAGUUUUCCAUAGGAAGAAGAAGGGUUACCUGUAGUCCACUUUUACUGUGAGUGAUCAUUGGGUGGACUCUUCCUUUUUUGUGCAAGGCGUGCCAGUGUAUUAGUGGGACAACACACAUUUUUUUUAAGUAAAACCUUCUGAAGAGGAAGAUGGCGUCUACAUUUCAAGUUCGUAGGUUCAUUAGUUGGUGGUGGCAUUGCAGACUCGUACUAUGGGGACACAGCCUUCGCCUUCUGUGUGACACCUGGCAGCCCUUGGGCUGGAUGAAUUUAGCAUUAAUUGAUCUCCAAGGCCAUCGAGUGUGUGCACACCAGCAAUUUUCAAAAUCAAUUACAGGCUGACUUGAGGCACCCAAGCAGAGCGGAGGCCCUAGGAAAACGUUCCCUCCAUUCGCUCCCUGCCACUUGAAAUUUUACUGAGGAGGAAGAUUCAGGGCCUGAGGCGGAAGUGACCAGAUAAAAUCGGGACAGCCAGUUGACAGGUGAAUUUCAGGUAUGUGACAAAUGAUGUUUUAUGUCCCCCAAAUUACUCGGUAUAUACUUUGCAUGAGCAAAACGUGCAUUAUCUCACAUUCCACUUGAGUGAAGCUGGAGCCUUCACUGAAAAAUUCAUCCUUUUUCUUCCCUUUCUCUUUUCACUUAGCAAGCCCUUUAGAGCUGCAGGGACCAAUGUCAUGGCCACUAGUCAGUCACAAGUGGCUACCAAGCUCUUGAACUGUGGCUAAUCUGAAAUGCUAUAUGAGGUACACUUCUGAGAAUUUGUACGAAGGAAGAAAAAAGACGAUUUCUCAUGAAUAACUUCAGUAUUGAUCAUAUGAUAAAAUGACACUAUUUACAUAUAUUGGGCUA
rnacentral:lncRNA from 1 species